AACCUUAACCUGAUUCGAAACUUAGGCCCAAAGAUGGUGGUUGUCAGGCCGCGCGUCGGAAAGUGCGCGUUUUUCCAGCUGAGCAGCAGAAAUGCAUCGAUUCGCGGGCGCGCGCGACCGUCACCUGCGCGGUCCUCUAUGGACGGGCAGCGACGGUCCCUAAGACGGCCGGAUCAUCCGCCGCUGCUAUAUUCGAGUUUCGGGUACCAGUCGGCACCCCGGCCUUCGGGCGUGGUGUCGAGCAGGGUCCAUAACGGGUCGGGAUCGGGUGCGCCGCGCGGGUCCUGGCCCGGAUCGGCC
rnacentral:sRNA from 1 species